ensembl:lncRNA
GACCAAAGAUAAUCUGGUCAUUGCAUAUUAUAUAAAUACAUCGUAUAAAUUCCCCCAUAUAAGCACUUCAGACAGAGAGGAGUCGCACUUAAGCUCAGUAGAAGCAGAAACAGUGGAAACAGGUUGUGGCAUCUGUCUGGCUGGAAUAAAAACGCACAACCCCUCUGGCCCUUUGUAGAUAAGAUUGAAGACUUAAUCCAUGUGACCUUUGAUGAUAUAAUUAUCAGUUUCCUCGCGGGGAAGGAAAGGAUGACGGGGAUCUUUCUUUCCAUCUUCAUUAUUCAACACACCAGCUCAUCAGGACGCAACUCUGGAGAGAAACAGUUUACCUAUGGGACAGAGAUAUCUUCUUCAGCUUCACAGUGGAGACGUUAUACAACAUGUCUAACUGUAAAGAAGAUGCUCUUUUUACUCGUGUUCAACUAUUUAUAAUCUGUUACUGUAUGUUGUAUUUAUUGUCAUUUAUUUACUUUGCUUUUUGUUUUGUUUUUUGUACAUUGAAGUGAAAUGUCUUCCCAUUUUUAAUUUAUAUUUGUCUUCUAUAACAAAUUUAGAAGACCAAAAAAAAAAAAAAAAGAAACGUCCUUUGACUUUUUGGUUUCUUUUAUUAUUUAUGUGUAAUUUAGUACAUUUCACUACUAUACAUACAACUUCAUGAGCAAAAGAAUAAAACUCAGACACACA